AAAACAAAGCGCAAAUAUUCCUUCUAAAGUUGACAACUGAAUCAGUUCUCAAUUGGAAAAAUGAAGAUAUUUAUUUUAUUUGCUGCGAUCAGUUUGUCUGUACUGUUUGCGACUGCUAAUGCAAAAUGUACGGUCGAGGGGGCUGUCUGUACCAUUGGUAAUGCUGUACCGGGGACUUGCAGAUACCGUCCAGCGACUGCCAGCUCUUGCGCCCUUUACUGCAAACCAAACGGGGCAUUCGGUCAAGCUGGAAAACGGUGAAGAAAAACAUGUUACAGAAGGAGCAGCGAUCACCAAGACAAUAUUUUUAACCAUCUUUUUAUUUUGCAAUCAAAUUAAUUAUUCGUCAUAAAAAAAACAUUUUCAUAAUUCUGUAUUGCUUAUCUUAAAAAACUGGUAACCAUCAAAUACCAUCUAAAUUUGACAUUUCGGUACUCUAUAUAAUACCAAGAACGCGUCUGUUUUACUUCUCGAUCAAGAAAGUCUUAAUCAGCCGU